rnacentral:rRNA from 1 species
UAGGGAAUCUUCCACAAUGGACGCAAGUCUGAUGGAGCAACGGCCGCGUGAGUGAAGAAGGUUUUCGGACCGUAAAGCUCUGUUGUUGGUGAAGAAGGAUAGAGGUAGUAACUGGCCUUUAUUUGACGGUAAUCAACCAGAAAGUCACGGCUAACUACGUGCCAGCAGCCGCGGUAAUCGUAGGUGGCAAGCGUUGUCCGGAUUUAUUGGGCGUAAAGCGAGCGCAGGCGGAAGAAUAAGUCUGAUGUGAAAGCCCUCGGCUUAACCGAGGAAUUGCAUCGGAAACUGUUUUCUUGAGUGCAGAAGAGGAGAGUAGAACUCCAUGUGUAGCGGUGGAAUGCGUAGAUAUAUGGAAGAAUACCAGUGGCGAAGGCGGCUCUCUGGUCUGCAACUGACGCUGAGGCUCGAAAGCAUGGGUAGCGAACAGGAUUAGAUACCCUGGUAGUCCAUGCCGUAAACGAUGAGUGCUAAGUGUUGGGAGGCUUCCGCCUCUCAGUGCUGCAGCUAACGCAUUAAGCACU